rnacentral:rRNA from 1 species
CCCUUAGAUGUUCUGGGCCGCACGCGCGCUACACUGAUGAAUUCAACGAGCUCCUAACCUAGGCCGAAGGGUCCGGGUAAUCUUUGAAAUUUCAUCGUGAUGGGGAUAGAUUAUUGCAAUUAUUAAUCUUCAACGAGGAAUUCCUAGUAAGCGCGAGUCAUCAGCUCGCGUUGAUUACGUCCCUGCCCUUUGUACACACCGCCCGUCGCUCCUACCGAUUGAAUGGUCCGGUGAAAUGUUCGGAUCGCGGCAAAUCGGACAGGUAACCGUCAGGUUCGCUGCGAGAAGUUCAUUAAACCUUAUCAUUUAGAGGAAGGAGAAGUCGUAACA